rnacentral:pre_miRNA from 1 species
AGUGGGAUUGCUGGAUCAUAUGGUAACUGUAUGGUUAACUAUAUAAGAAUAUGCCAAAGUGUUUUCCACAGUGACUGUACCAUUUUGCAUUUCCACCAGCAAU